ACAGUGAAAAUAUGCUCAGUGCAGCCGAGUGCAUGAAUGAAAAAGCCUCUGGUACCUUCUAGUCUGGCAAAAUGCAGCACAAAACUCAACUUACUCUGUCUUUUCUGCUGUCCCAGGUUCUGCUGCUUGCAUGUGCAGAAGAUUUAGAAUGUGUGCCUGGAUUCCAGCAGAAGGUUUUUUAUAUAGAAAAGCCAUUUCAAUUCACAGAGGACCGGCUGGUUCUGAACCUGAAAUUUGAUGACUGCAAGGGGAACAACAAAUUGAACUUUGAAGUUUCUAACCCAGACUUUAGAGUGGAACUCGAUGGGAAUUUGGUUGCACUCAAGAAUGUAUCAGAAGUUGGCAAAGCCUUGUUUGUCCACGCGCGGUCGGAGCACGCCGAGGACAUGGCAGAAAUCUUUAUUCUUGAAGCAAAUGAAAAACAUGGUGCAUUAAAGGAAAUCUUAAAACUAGAAGGCAACCUUGGAAUUCCAAGACAAAAAAGGGCUAUUUUGACAACUCCAAUAUUAAUUCCUGAAAAUCAAAGACCUCCAUUCCCCAGAUUAGUUGGCAAGGUCAUCAGAAGUGAAGGGACAGAGGGAGUAAAGUUUCGGCUCUCUGGGAAGGGAGUAGAUCAAGACCCAAAAGGAAUUUUUAGAAUCAAUGAGAUGAACGGGGACGUCUCCGUGACCCGAACCCUUGAUCGAGAAGCAAUUGCCAAUUAUGAGCUGCAAGUGGAGGUCGUGGACAUGAAUGAGAAAACCAUGGAUGGCCCGGUGCGCCUGGACAUCUUGGUCAUCGACCAGAAUGACAACAGGCCCAUGUUCAAAGAGGGCCCCUACGUUGGUCACGUCAUGGAGGGAUCUGCCACAGGAACCACGGUGAUGCGCAUGGCAGCGUUCGACGCCGACGACGCCAGCACGGACAACGCCCUGCUGCGCUACAACAUCCUCAGGCAGACCCCCACCAAACCCUCCCCAAACAUGUUCUACAUCGACCCAGAGAAGGGAGACAUUGUCACAGUGGUGUCCCCAGCGCUGCUGGACCGGGAGACUAUGGAAAGCCCAAAGUACGAGCUGGUUAUAGAAGCCAAGGACAUGGGUGGGAUGGAUGUGGGACUGACAGGCACAGCCACUGCCACCAUUCUUAUCGACGACAAAAAUGACCACGCACCAGAAUUCACCAAGAAGGAGUUCCAGGCCACGGUGAAGGAGGGGGUCACAGGUGUAAUAGUGAACUUAACUGUGGGUGACCGGGAUGACCCCACCACCGGGGCAUGGAGAGCUGUCUACUCCAUCAUUAAUGGGAACCCAGGGCAGAGCUUUGAGAUCCACACCAACCCCCAGACUAAUGAGGGAAUGCUCUCUGUUGUCAAGCCUUUGGACUACGAGAUUUCAGCCUUUCACACGCUGCUGAUCAAAGUGGAAAACGAAGACCCGCUGAUCCCAGACAUCGCCUACGGCCCCAGCUCCACAGCCACCGUCCAGAUCACCGUGGAGGACGUCAACGAAGGCCCCGUGUUCCACCCAAACCCCAUGGCAGUGACCAAGCAGGAGAACAUCCCCGUUGGCAGCGUGGUGCUCACGGUGAACGCCACCGACCCGGACACUUUGCAGCACCAGACCAUCAGGUAUUCAGUGUACAAGGACCCAGCAGGGUGGCUGGAAAUCAACCCCACCAAUGGCACCGUUGGCACCACGGCAGUGCUGGACAGGGAAUCUCCCUUCGUGCACAACAACGUCUACACUGCUCUGUUCCUGGCCAUCGACAGUGGUAACCCUCCCGCUACGGGUACAGGAACUUUGCACAUCACCUUGGAGGAUGUCAAUGACAACGUCCCAUCCCUUUAUCCAACACUGGCAAAAGUUUGUGACGAUGCAAAAGAUCUCAGGGUAGUGGUCCUAGGAGCAUCAGACAAAGACCUUCAUCCCAACACAGAUCCAUUCAAAUUUGAGCUCAGCAAGCAAUCUGGCCCAGAAAAGUUGUGGAGAAUCAACAGGCUUAACAAUACCCAUGCCCAGGUCAUCCUGCUUCAGAACCUGAAAAAGGCCAAUUACAACAUCCCCAUCUCAGUGACAGAUUCUGGAAAACCGCCUCUGACCAACACCACAGAACUGAGAUUACAAGUGUGUACCUGCAAGAAAUCCAAAAUGGACUGCAGUGCAGCUGAUGCUCUCCACAUCAGCCUGACCCUAAUCCUCCUCCCACUCCUCAGUUUAUUUUAAAAGUGUCACCAGCACAGCAAGACAUGGAGGACAAGAUGAAGGAGAAGAAGGUCUGUAAGAAUUCCUGCCAUUUGAAGCUGUCCUACCGAGUUGCCAUGGCAACGAGAAGAAGGAAAAAACCAUCAGAUCUGAAGAUUGCAGUUUACAAUUACUGUUCUUCACUCCUCGGCCUCAGUUGCUCCAGUUUAGUUUGCAAUCUCACUCAAUCUGUCCGACUGUACCUUGGUGUUCGACAGCCUCCACCCCUCUGCCCUUUGGCCCUGGAUUCCUCCUGCAGGACACAAGGUUUACUCAAAAUUUACUCUGAAUGUUAAAAGACCAUGACAUCCAAACCCAACCUUGGGGGAGCAGGAAAAAAAAAAAAAAAAAAAGAAACAACAAAACCAGAUUGACUCCAUUUUUUUCUAUCUGUUGACUUGUUGCUAUUCAACUGUUCAGAAAAUAUUUUGUCUGUGGGUUAGUAUUUGUAUAUGUAUGAGUGUAUGUAUAUAUAUAUAUUUAUAUAGAGAGAAGAGUUAUACCACAGGUUUAGCUUUUAUAAAAUGUUCAUCUGGAGGGUGAGAAGGGAGGGAGCAGAAUAACACAGCCACAGAUGAAUUGUAGCUGUCCCACCAUGGCUAAACCUGCUGGGUUUGCUGUUCUGUUCAGAGCGUGGCCAGGAGGAGCGAGCCUGUGGCCACCCUGGGCUCUGCCGUGGCCCUUCUCGUACCUCAGGUUCAGCAAACACGAAAUGCAAGUCCCCAGGGCUUGUUCCUGGUCUGAACUGCUCUCCCUGGGCCCCAGAGGGAGCUGAGGAUGCAGGAGGAGCAGCCAAGUGUGAGCAGCUCAGCCUGAUUUGAAGGGCCAAAGGGCUGAAACAUUGGCUGGGGCAGGUGACAAAAUGUUUUUAUCAGCUCUGCAGGUGAGAAGCUGAGUCCAACAGCAGCGCUCAGUGCUUGCCAGAGCACUGAUCUCUGUCUCAGCCUCUGUGCCAGCAGCAGCACGGGUGCCCUGUUCUUGAAAUACCCUCACAAACACACAAAUCCAUCAUUUUGGAUAUAUAUAUACAUACAUACACACGUACACACAGUUUCCAGUUAAGAGUAACAAGAGCAUUUCUUUGUGUGUGUAAACUUACCACACCUGUUUGCAGACAUGGGAAAAAAGGGUGUUUGUUCUCUAUGAAUAUGGAUCCUUUUUUAUUCUGUGAGCAUGUAAGGUAAAAAAAAAAAAAAUCCUUCUAACUGUAUGAAGAUGAUCAUCUUGUUAAUAAACUGUAAAUGAUCCAUCAAAGCUCACACCAAAUUUUUAUAAAAUUAACACAAAAAGUAUACUAGUGACAGACUGUGGCUUUUAUUAGAGCUUGCCAGUAACUAGGGUAAGGUAAGUGUCUUAGAAUAUUUUAAUAAACUUGCUUAUUUAAAGUUUAAACAAGAAAGCUUCCUUAUGCAAUAGAACUUUGCAGCUGCAUUCUUUAGUUGGCAUUUUUACAGUAAUUAUGGGUCAUACUCGAUGGCAUCCUUACUACAGUGAGAGUAUGAGCAUAUCUUCCACACCACAUAUAUGUUUCAAUAGUAAAGAUUUUUGGAAACAUUAAAAAUAAGUCCAGACAUACUUUUAGUUUCCCAUAAUGCUACACUAGAUAUUAAAUGUGUGUUGGUGGUUAAAAUUUGCUGUACAAUAGCUUUUCUCCGACUUCCUGUAUUAUACCAAAUAUGAAACAGGUUUUUUUUCUUUCUUCCUUUUUUUUUUUUUUUAAAUCAAAAGGAGUAAUAACAACAGCGACAGAGGAAAAAUGAGUUUGUGUUGUGAGCUUUCCUAAGGUUGUAGAUUUCUUGAUAAGAUAUGAGCUGCCUUCAGACCAGUUUUUCUCUUCCAGCUUAACUCCUGCAGUCCUGACCAAGUGAAAUCUGCCCCUGGUCCCUGCAGGAGCCUCUGUGUCACCAAAGUGGCCCUUGAGGGUCAGUGGGAGCUGGUCAAGGACACCAGGAGAGGCUUUUGGCAGCUUCAGCAGGGAAGUGCCUGAUCCCAACCGUUAACAUGGGCACGCUCCUGGUCCUAUCUCCCUGCCCAUGCCUUGUAUGGACCCCAUGCUGCUGCUUUGCCAUCAACAAUCACGUCUUUUUUUAUUAAAAAAAUAUAUAUAUAUAUUAUUUUCAAGCAAAUUUUUCCAAAAGAAACAAUUUAACUACUGUAUGGCACCUCUGGAAUUCCAACGUGUAUGUUCAAUGAAUGCACCCAAAGAUAUUCUGCGCCCUGUGCUUUGAGCUACAAAACCUCUAUCUUGAAUAAAAGAAAUUAUAUUACCCUCCCCCACAAAUACUCUUUUCUACUUGCUUUUUUCCUCUCUCCACCCAGCCAGACCCACCUCUGGAAAUAAUCCCCCCUUGACUUUGGUGUAAUUUCUGUCAAAUGCCAAAAAAAAAUCUUUCCUUCCCUGCUUUAAACCAAGGCUCACAGAGCGUUUGGUGAAUCAUUCCAAGGGCAGCCAAAACGAGGAACAAAGAGAAAACUCUUCUGCCUGGAACUACACGAGCAAGAGGAAGACUCUUCCUACCACCCUGUGCCCAAGGAUAAGAUCUUUCUUCUUGGAUCCACUGCAAAAUUUUGAUGUGCAGAGAGAUCAGAGCCUGGCUGAGGCUCUGACCCGAGGUGCAUCCAAGCCUCAAUUCCCAUUCUCCCUUUAUUUCUGCUCCCACAGAAAAAGCCUCCCAGGCUUAAUUAUUAAAGCCUCCCAGGCUUUCCCAAUCUGUUCCAGGUUCCCAAGUGUUCCAGGCUCCCCAAGGAGCCCAUCCCUGGCCUACCCAGGCAUGCCAGGAGGAAGAUGAAGCUGCCAUGCUGAUGUUUCUCCCCAUUUAACACAGACUGUGGCACAUUCAUGGUGUGACACAAGCGAGGAACCACAGCAGAAUCUGAGUUUUCCUACCUGAAUAAAGGGUGUCACCUCUGGCUCAAAAAACCAAUGUCCAUUUCCUGAAACAAAGGAGCAACAAUGAUUCAUCCAUUUUUCUACAAUAUAAUGAAAAAGCAGAAAACUCACAAAAUUGGUUGUAUUGUUUUCUAAUAGUUGGUUAUGUUUAACAUCCGUUCAGCCAAGUUUGCUGUUUUUAUAACAUACCCCUUAUUCCUACCCAGCUGUUUUAGCCCCACCAUCAGUUCUUUCAGCCUGUUUGUAGAUACAUAAAUGCUGUCUACAUUUGGAAAGGCAGUGGACUUGCUGAUUAUCAUUUUGUAACAUGCACAAAACUUUUUAUUUGUAAAAGUCAUUUCACUUGAAAAGGCUCUGUGCUGUUGAAACAAAAAUUGGGAAUAGCAAUCAGUGAGAGGGGUUUAUUAGCAAGAGAAAGGUCUCAUUUUUGGUGUGCUUGCUAAUUGAACCCUGGUCUGUGCUCCUCUUGUGUGCUUUUCCAGUAUGCCUGUGUGCAUUUAUUAAUGUCCAUUUUGUUCAGUAGCUGUAGGUCUGAAGAGUAAAAAAAAGGGAAACGAGCUGAAUUUCCUGCUGGGUGUGGAGGAAAAUGAGGUAAGGGUGGGACACUGGUAACACAGUCCCUGAGCCCUGUUCUCAUCAUGUUUACACGGCUGGAAAUCAAACAGCAGCUCCAUCACCAGAACUGAGGUUCAGUUCAUCUUAUUUAGGUGAAAUCUUCCCUCCCCACAUUUUGCUUUUUGCUGGUUGGCUGUGAACAGUAAAGCUGUGAUGUUUGUCACAGGAUUGCUGAGUGCUUACACAUUAUCAGAAGUCUGGGGUUUGUCACAUCCACAGGUGACUCGUGCCCUUCACUGACCAUCUGAAGGUGCCUCUAAGGCUCCCAGAAUAAUUUGGUUUAACCUUUAUUCGAAAUGGAUGGGGUCAAAUAAUUUGUUCUGUUCUCUUACAUAGUCAUUUUUUUGUAUUACUAUAAUACAAACCUCAUUUAUUAAAUUAUGGACUUACAAGCAGUUUGUAGGGCCCUAUCUUAAAUGCCUUAUCACUACAAAAAGACAUCUACAACUUUUGUCUUUCCUUUGCAAAGGCCUCUUGUCUGAAAUACUGAGAAAGCUGCCAAUUUUCUUCUCAAAUGUUACUAAUUCACUUGGAGCAGAAUUCUGUACACAAAUGAUUUUACAUCACUUGGUCUAAAGGCUAAAUUGCUUUCAGAAUAGGUUUAAAAAUGUCUUAUUUAAUUAAAAAAAUAGUUACAUAAAGUCACACUGGCUUGAGAACACCAAGUCUGAAGCAAAACUCUGCUCCUGUCUUGCCUUUAUUGCAUCUCUAGAAACUCUGUUGUCUGAGAGAUCCAGUCCAAUGAAAACACGAGGAAAAAUAAAAUAGCAAUUAUUUCCUUUCAGUUAACUCUGUGCUCUGUAAUCUUUAGAAGUCACAUGCAGUGCACAUCAGUAAUUAUCAUUACAGCUAUUCUCUUUAAAGCAGAUAGAGCUGAGUCUUUCCUACACAGAGCACACAAGCCCUGUCCUCCUGCCUCACCCCAGGACACACGAGCUGGUUUGGGUUUGUCCCAGUGGGAUGGAUGCACUCCCCUACUCUCAGUGGAAAGUUUCUAGUUGCACAACUGCUAUGUGUGUAUAUAUGUAGAUAUAUAGAGAUAUACACAUUUAAAUAUAUAUAUAUAAUAUAUAUGCAGGUGGAAGGAGAUGGAUACAACACGGGAGACUUGGAAUAAGCAGUUUAAUUCCCUAAGUCAGGGAUGAAUUCAUGAGAUAAGGGACAGCAUGGGCUACAUGCACUGAACCAGUCUGAUUUAAAGCAAAUUAAAAGGGCAAAAAAAGCCCACACAUUUAACCCCAGGUUUAUCUCAACUCUCCUGUUGUAUUUCUGCUACCCUGAGCUGUCCCCUCGUACCGCAAUUACAUCAGUUGAAGAUAUGCACCAUUGUUUUCUGACUUAUUUUAAGUUGUCUGUGGAUCAGCAGGUCACCAGUAGUGGAAAGGGAAGGGUUUAGAGCCAGAAUUCCUCAUUCCUGAGCUUUCAGUGGGACAGCUGUUUGGGAAAGUUUCAUCCAGCCUUGAGCAUUACACUCCUCCUCUGCAUCAGCAAGUGACUGCACUCUGUAAUUUGGGGUGAAAUGAAUGUAGGCUAGAGCCAGGCUGGGUGUUUGGAUGUGCACACACCCCCUGCCUGAGGAAUGAAUCCGUGUCUGGGGGACUGUGGUGGGGAACUCAGCACAAACGAGUUGUGCUGUUACUGCCAUUUCAGCCAGAACCCUCCUCCAAAACCACACCUACCCCACAACAACCUCUGUCCCUUUAAGUUACCAUCAAGAUUAUUUUUUUAUGAUUUUUUUUUUCAUUUUUAAUAGUCCAGGCAAGGAGGAAAACAUUUUGUUUGAUUUUCAAGAUGCUUAAUUCAGCUGCUUUUCCAGUUAAUCAUUCCUUUGGGCCCUAGUUGCUGAAUCGCUUGCUGUUUCUGAGGUGUAAAUAAACGUUUUGAUUUAUGACGUGGUUGCAAAGAAACUUGUAAUUUAUUUGUGAAAUGCUCAAAUAAAGGAUGUAUGGGCUUUUA